UAUUUAUGAUUUUUAGUUAAAACACAAUUUGAAUUGACUUUGUACACAAAAUCACGUUUUGAGCAAUUUUGGUCCGACAUGCACAAUACAGAAUGUUGCUUAAUUUUAUGCUACCCGGGUAACGCAUAAUUUGUCUCAAAAGUUGUGCAAAACUUGAAAGUAAAAAGUCAGUGUCGUCAAAAAAAUUUCGCUCGGCAAAAACAUUGCGCGAACCCCUCCCCGUCUAGAUAGGGUUAGUGCCAGCUACGCGCAAGCUUUUAAAUCUUGCUUGAGCAAGGUAUUUUUAACUUCAUAAAAAAAUUUCUGUCUUGACUCCUGACAAAGCAAUGUAAGGGCAAUGUGCAUAUUUUGUGUCAAGUUUUACUGCGUGGGUGCAUCUAGAUCUUUCGUGAUCGCAGACUGCAUAUGAUAGGAGAAAGAUGGACCAAAAAAAAUAGUGGCAAUGACCUUAGUUUAUGUGUAUUCAAAUUUGUUGUGAGAUUCUACAUGUAUGAGCCGAAGUGAUAAGUGAAACACAAAAAGCUACAUCCCGCAAAUAAUGCUUGAUGAAUUGACAUUUUAUAACGUGGUUAAAUUCUAAUUAUAACCAAUUCUAUAGCAAGAUUCUAAUGUAAAAGGUGGUUAGUUAGUAGCAUGUUGAUGGUCUUUACUCAGAUCGAAGAGAUGGAGAGCUUAUCAAGAAGAGGGACGAGCUUCUUGAGUCGGAUGAAGAAGCGACAACAAGCAGAUCCACUGCCAGCAAGAGGCCAUCAAGGCGACCCCUGCGGUUUUUAGAAGACGAACUUGAUUCGGACACUUGCUUUCAACCAGACGAGAAAAAAAAUUCGAAGAAGGUGAAAUUGGCUCACCAGACCAGAGAUAAGAUACUCUUAGAUCGCCUGGUGAAAAAGAAAGAGCUGGAGCCAUUGAAUGAGAAGACUGAAAUCGCAAAAUUGACGGAGCAAAAUGCAGCACUUCAGUGCCAGCUAGAAAAAGUCACGAAGGAAAGAGACAGCUUAAUUGCUGCAAUGGCUUGUUUGAAUGAGCUCCCUGAGUUGUUGAAAAAAAUGACGGCUGUUCGCACUCCACAGUCGUCUCCACGUACCAGUCAAUCAACACCCUCACCUAGAUUGC